AUCAGUCCUUACCUUGAACAUGCCCCUCACAUCCUUUCUCCCUUUUCUUUAUAUUUCCGUUCUCUUCACCUAUUCCCCCGCCUUUGGCUUUGAACAUAAUGUCAAGCCUCACUGUCCCCCUGAUAAAGAAGUCUGUGAGUUUGAUUGGGUGGUUGAUUAUGUGGAAACGAUGAUCUAUUACGAGGACGGGGGUGCUGGACACCCUAUUGUUGUCCGGAACGGUUCCCUGUACCAACGAUCCAGCUGCAACACUUAUAUUCCAAUUGACAUCAGUAAAGAUUCUGAAAAAGCAAUAUUCGCAGAUGGGUCUUAUAAACUAAUUUAUGGAAUAAACGGACACUAUCCUGGCCCUUCUGUUGUUGUUUAUGAAGGUCAACAGGUGGUGGUGAAUCUGAAGAACAACCUACUGAUGGAGGGACUGACCAUACACUGGCACGGCAUGGUACAAUGGCAUACCCCCUGGAUGGACGGGGUGGGAACCGUGUCCCACUGUCCAAUAAACCCCGGGGAAACCUUCCAAUACAGGUUUUUGGCCGACCCCCCGGGUACUCACUGGUACCACUCACACCUAGGCACGGAGCGUACAGACGGCCUGUCCGGGGCCCUCAUUGUUCUUCCCAAACCAGAAAUGUUGGAGAACUUAAGAGACGAUUUGCCUGAAUUAUCUGGGGAUUUUGUGAUGGUCGUCACGGACUGGAAGCUAGAUGCUUCCAUCGAGACCAAAAGCGAGGCAGACUGGGGUCUUAAUCCAUUCUCAUACGGAUUCAACGAAACUAAAUGCUACUCGAUCACGUUAGACGCAACGGGUGGAGCUGUUGGUCUCUUUCCAUUUGAGUCUGCACUUAUAAACGGAAGGGGCAAUCACUACCUGAACAAAGACAACCCGGAACAACCAGAUAUACCCGAACUUCCGACGGAAACAUUCGUCGUCAGCCGUUACGGUUACUACAGAUUUAGAGUCAUCAAUACCGGUAUGCUGUUUGCCUUCCGAAUUUCUGUUGAUAAGCAUGAUAUUCAAAUCAUCUCUGUCGACGGUAACGACGUCGUUAUGACCAGUGCUGAAUCCGUCAUCGUACAUGGUGGCGAGAGAGUAGAUUUCAUCAUCUUGGCGUCAGAAGACAUUGGCAACUACUGGGUGCGCGCGCAAAGCAUAGAGAAUACCAAUAGCGAAGGGCCGGUUGUUCAAGACACAGCUCUGGCUGUGUUAAGGUAUAAUGGUUCACGCGAAGUUCAACCAAAAACACACAGGUACGAGUGUCGGCCCAAAGAUCCCUGCAGAGUAGUCAACUGUCCUUUUGGCCAAUAUCCAGACAGCUACAGUAUUACCUGCGUCGCCGCCUCGGACCUUAAAUCUACCUCUGCGCAGAUAAAGGCACAUCCGGUUCCAGUAGCUUCGUCACCUACGGAGUUCCAGGAAAUAUUUUUGAAUUUCCACUUCUCAUCAACAGCAAAGGUUCCUUUUACCACUGCAGUGAACGGUCACGUCUUUGUUCCACCCACCUCACCACCUCAGAUUUAUCCAAAGCAAGAAAAUACGACAACCUCCUGUGAGUCUUUAAACUGCACGGACCACUGCAAGUGCACGUACAUUGUCAAACUGGAAAAAGAUAAAACCGUGCAGAUUGUGUUUCUGAACAUGGACGAUGCUCCGUUCGGAAUGCCUCAUCCAAUACACAUGCACGGUCAUCAUUUCCACGUUCUCAAGACAGGAUUCCCUCACUAUAAUUCUACGACAGGGGAAAUACUAGAUAGAAACAGAGACAUUAAAUGCAGUACCUCCACUCGGCUUAUCAUCAUAGACACCACGUGAUUCUAAUAGCCUUACUGGGUCUCUCACUCCUGUUGAACUUAGUUUUCAUCAGCUUUUAUCUCUGUAAAAAGUUUCGGCGAUCAUCUACAUUGGAAAAACUUUCUCAGAAAAAGGCGACUUUAAUGGACAAUUUGAUUACGGGAAAUUUGAAACACUCUGAGUCCAAACAACGCCUAGUUUGAGUAACCAUUGACUUGUUAUCAGAAUUGUUUAAUCAUUUGCCUUGAUAAUUGAUAGUAUACUAUCUGAAUCUGAGCAUGUACCUGAUAUUCAAACUCAGGGGAAUAAAAAGACUGUUGUAAAAUAUACGAUUUUGUUCAAACUUUUGCAUAAUUUUCUGUUUACUUAUAAUUGUAGUAAAAUUGUUUCUUAU
rnacentral:misc_RNA from 1 species